AUUGCAGCAGGCGCGAAAACUUUACAAUGCUGGCAACAGCGAUAAGGGAACCUCGAGUGCCAGGUUACAAAUCUGGCUGUCGAGAUGCCUAAAAAGCAUUUCAUAGCAAGGGCCGGGCAAGACCGGUGCCAGCCGCCGCGGUAACACCGGCGGCUCGAGUGGUAACCGUUAUUAUUGGGUCUAAAGGGUCUGUAGCCGGCCGGAUAAGUCUCUUGAGAAAUCUGGCAGCUUAACUGUCAGGCUUUCAGGAGAUACUGUCUGGCUCGAGGCCGGGAGAGGUGAGAGGUACUUCAGGGGUAGGGGUGAAAUCUUGUAAUCCUUGAAGGACCACCAGUGGCGAAGGCGUCUCACCAGAACGGACCUGACGGCAAGGGACGAAAGCUAGGGGCACGAACCGGAUUAGAUACCCGGGUAGUCCUAGCCGUAAACGAUACUCGCUAGGUGUCGGCCACGGUGCGACCGUUGUCGGUGCCGUAGGGAAGCCGUGAAGCGAGCCACCUGGGAAGUACGGCCGCAAGGCUGAAACUUAAAGGAAUUGGCGGGGGAGCACAAU
rnacentral:rRNA from 1 species